AGAUGAGACUUGGGAGGACUGUUGAGAAGAGGGAAGGAAUAUAUGGGGGAGACGCAGAAAAGAAAAGGCUAAUUCUUUGGUUUGAUCAUGAGUUUUUUCAUGAAAUCCCCCAAAAGGAAAAACGAAUUUUAUAAUUCCACCUUCGACACCUAAGCAGAGACAUCAUUGAAAUUCAUUCCUUUCUUAUUUUCUCUUUGGAGGGAUUCACACCUUAUUUUCACACCACCCUUGAUAUAGAUCUUUCGUCUUCGUCUCUUUCUAUAUCGAUCGGAUUAAACCCUUUGGUGGGUAUAGAAAAGGUGGAGAAUCUGAUCCAUAUAUCUCAGUCUGUCUGGGCUCUGCCAUGGAAGGAGGGCAUCACCACCAUAUCAGCGCAACCGUCGAUACAGGAGAUAGAUUCCCCCAAUGGAGCCUUCAGGAGACGAGAGACUUUUUGAUGAUCCGAGCGGAGCUCGAUCAGUCGUUCAUGGAGACCAAGCGCAACAAGCUCCUGUGGGAGGUCAUCGCCACCAAGAUGAAGGAUGCCGGCUACAAUCGCAGCGCGGACCAGUGCAAAUGCAAAUGGAAAAACCUAGUCACUCGUUAUAAGGGCUGUGAAACUAUGGAGUCAGAAGUUAUGCGGCAGCAGUUUCCGUUUUACAAUGAGAUGCAGGCUAUAUUUGGGGCGAGGAUGCAGAGAAUGCUAUGGGUGGAAGCUGAAGGCGGAGCGAGCGGAUCGAAGAAAAAGGGCUUGCAAGUUUCAUCGGACGACGACGACGACAACGAGGAGAGCGAAGUGGAGAAGGGUGGUGGAAGCAAGAAGAAGAGGAAGGUGGUGAAGAGUACCAUCGGGAUGAUUAACCCCGGAAGUAGCAGCGGUGGGGGUGGAAGCAUCAACAGUUUGAAGGAGAGUUUGGAGGCGUUCAUGAAGCAGAUUGUGCAGAUGGAGAUGCAAUGGCUGAGAGCGUACGAGGCUCGGGAGGAGGAGAGGAGGAUGAAGGAGAUGGAGUGGAGGCAAGCCAUGGAAGCCUUGGAGAAGGAGAGGAUAAUGAUGGAUAGGAGCUGGAGAGAUAUGGAAGAACAAAGAAGGAUCAGAGAGGAAGCUCGAGCCGAGAAGAGGGAUGCUCUUAUAACAGCCCUCUUGAACAAGCUUGGAAGAGACGACUUGUAGAUAUGAUCAGCAGCUAGCUAGCUAGGUACCUCAGUAGUGGUUGUUUGAUUUGUUUUCCUUUGUACUAGAGGAAGAAGUAGAAGAAGAAGAUAGAUCAGAGAAAGGCCAUGAGAGUGAUUAGCACAAAAGAUCAUAACUUCGAGAAGGCACAAAAAGAAGAGAAAAGGAAAAAGAAGCACGCACACGGGCACAUAAAAGAAAGAAAGAAAGAAAGAAAGAUAUCCUUUAGUUGAUAUAUACAAUAAUUAAACCAUUGAUUGUACUGAUAUACCUUCAAUUAUUGCAAUUAGUUUGGUAUCAUCAAUUAGACGUGAGGAAUGUUGAAGUUUAAACUUGUGAAGACUGGAGAAUGGGGAAGCGCGCGGUGGAAGUGGAAGAGGAAGCAGUCACGUUGAAGGAAGCUAAUUAAAUAGUAAAAUAUCAUUUUUAACACACACGUACCAUACACAAUUCGAUCGGUUGAGUUUUAGAAAGAAAAAGGACCACCUUCCAACAAAAAUGCUAUCUUUUACCAGUCUAUGCACUGAGUCUAUGCGUUGCAGUGAUAGAGAUAUCCAAGUUGAGAAAUAUCACGCGAAGAAUGGUUUUACCCAACAAAUUAUUAAUCCCUUUUUGUGAGAAAGGUUUCAAAUUGGAGGGAUUAUAUAAUUUUGAGCUCAUCUACUGUAUCACUGUAUCCAACUCUUUAACACUGUUAGAAUGGGAUGCAUUCUUCAUAU